AGGGUUUGAUCAUGGCUCAGGACGAACGCUGGCGGCAUGCCUAACACAUGCAAGUCGAACGAGAAAGUUCCUUCGGGAGCAAUUAAAGUGGCGCACGGGUGAGUAACGCGUAGACAAUCUGCCCUUCAGUCUGGGACAACUUUUCGAAAGGAGAGCUAAUACCGGAUAACAAUGCAUGACACAAGUUGUAUAUUUGAAAGCUUUAUGUGCUGAAGGAGGGGUCUGCGUCCCAUUAGCUAGUUGGUAAGGUAAAGGCUUACCAAGGCAACGAUGGGUAGCGGGUUUGAGAGGACGAUCCGCCACACUGGAACUGAGACACGGUCCAGACUCCUACGGGAGGCAGCAGUGGGGAAUAUUGCACAAUGGAGGAAACUCUGAUGCAGCAAUGUCGCGUGAGUGAAGAAGGCCCUUGGGUCGUAAAGCUCUUUUAUGGGGGAAGAUGAUGACGGUACCCCAAGAAUAAGCACCGGCUAACUAUGUGCCAGCAGCCGCGGUAAUACAUAGGGUGCGAGCGUUGUUCGGAAUUACUGGGCGUAAAGGGCGCGCAGGCGGAAUAGUAAGUCGGAGGUGAAAGCCCGGGGCUCAACCCCGGAGGGUCUUUCGAAACUACUAAUCUAGAGAGGGUCAGGGGCCGGCAGAAUUCCUGGUGUAGAGGUGAAAUUCGUAGAUAUC
rnacentral:rRNA from 1 species